GCUAGCCUACGGGACGCAGCAGUGAGGAAUAUUGGUCAAUGGGCGGGAGCCUGAACCAGCCAAGUCGCGUGAAGGAAGAAGGUACUUAGUAUUGUAAACUUCUUUUGUCGGGGAACAAAGGCGGAGACGCGUCUCCGGAUGAGUGUACCCGAAGAAAAAGCAUCGGCUAACUCCGUGCCAGCAGCCGCGGUAAUACGGAGGAUGCGAGCGUUAUCCGGAUUUAUUGGGUUUAAAGGGUGCGCAGGCGGGGGAUCAAG
rnacentral:rRNA from 1 species